UUUGCGGGGCCCAAAGCCUGCAUAUUGGACCGACCCUAGAAGCUAAAGAGUUUCAGAAAUAUUAGACCAGUGAGACUGGUUAGGACAAAGAUGUGCUGAUGAGAAAUUAAGAAAGGCUGGUUAAUAAUUUAUUUAGCUGAUGAUGAGCAAGUGCAAGGGCAAGAAAAAUUGCAGAGAGUUAUGCAAUCAUGUGAGGAUAACUGGGUCUUCUGUAGUUUGUACAAAGACACAUCACAUUUGCAUGUAUGAUUUAUUUUGGGAGUUUGUGGCAUGGCAUUGGUCCAUUGUUAAUAUCUGCAACUGAUUAUUUUUUUAACUUUUUACCAAAAAAGGUUUAGGACCACCGGAAGCCAAAUUCAAUUUUUCUGGUACUGAUGAGGACUGAGGGAUUAGGACAGUUCUCUUCUCUUUCUCUGGGUUGGGACAAAUUCACCCUCUUGAUGAGUAUCGUGAUCAUCACUGGCAAAAACACAGACCCUGGGCAGAGAGAGGUUCAGAAGAGAAAGACUGACACAAAAUGGAAGAUAGAUCAUAUUGCAUCAUUUGAAGGACUUUGUCCCCUCUUUCCUCUUUGAUAUGAGAAAAAGGAAAAUGAAAAAAGAAAAUAAUAAUAAUAAACAAAAUAGAAAGAGCUCUUUCUAUUUCUCCCUUUUUACUUGUGUUUUUGAGGAUUUUUGCUUAUAGGCGUUGCAUUGUUUAAACUUACAUUCUCCUGCAUGGCCACGUUUCUGUAUGCUUCAAUCUAACUUCAUGAAGAUUCUUUUACCAAUUCAC
rnacentral:lncRNA from 1 species